CGGCAUGUAACACACCGAACAGAGUCGAGUCACUGAUCUCGCCAAACUGUCCCACGGCCGAUUAUCGGUUUGGUGUGUCAUGGCCCUUAGGUUCAACAUGACUGCCAGCGAAG